UGCCUGAAGCAAAUAAAAUUCCAGGUAGACCCUGCCCAAUGACUCCCAGUUCAAUGGCCGCGGUAACUCGUGCAAAGGUAGCAAAAUAAUUCGCCUCCUAAUUAGAGGCUAGUAUGAAAGGGCUAACGAAAAGGCCCUGUCUCUGCUGGGCUAAUAAAAACUAUCUACCAAGUGAAAAGCCUUGGAUUCUUAUAGAAGACAAGAAGACCCUGUCGUACUUAACCCUAAGUAAAUUCAUUAAAUUUACAAAAGGUUUGGUUGGGACGACCUUUAACUAUAAACGCUAUUACUAAUUAAGAAACCCAACUCUCCUCACUGACCCUUCUAAAGAUCAAUGAACAAGUAACCGCAGGGAUAACAGGCUAAUUUCCUUCUAGAGCCCAUAUCAACAAGGAAGUUUGGCACCUCGAUGUUGGCUUAGGAACUCUAAUAGGCGCAGCAGCUUAUUACAGAAGGUUUGUUCAACCUUUAAUAUCCU
rnacentral:rRNA from 3 species